GUCCACUAGAGAGCUCAACAUUUUGGCCCAGAUGAGCUCAGAGGGAGAGUUGUUGUAUAGCAAAAUCGAGUAGAGCCCUAAUCACCUCCGCAUGUCUUCCCUAGCCCUAAUCGCCGCCGACUCGAGGAGCCGUGGCGGUGGUUCAGCGCUGGGAUUUGUCGUCGUACACUGCCGAGAGGCCUCCCUCCGCCGUGCUAGCUCCGCCAUCAGGACCAGCACUUCGCCGCCAACCACGCCGUUGGAAAUUAGGGAGCCCGGCCGUGUCGUCGGACAUCAUGCGGCCCAGAUGAGCCGCCGUUCCUUGCUGGCGUCAGCGGGCCCGCUGGACGACGAGGAUCUCCUCCGAGAGAUCCUCCUCCGUCUCCCUCCGAAUCCAUCCUCCCUCCCACGUGCCUCGCUUGUCUGCACACGUUGGCGCACCAUUCUCGCUGACCCACAAUUUCUCCGCCGCUUCCGCAAACACCACAGAAACCCUCCAUUGCUGGGCUUCUUCUUCACAGAUGGUGAAUUCACUCCCAUAAUGGACCCUCCCGACAGCAUCCGUGUUGAGCGCUUCUCCGUGCCCAAGAUCCGAACCCCCAAGAGGUCUUGGUGGAACCUCAUAUGCUGCCGCCAUGGCCUCGCCGUACUAGUUAACUGGUUGCAGCCAGGCCCGGCCCAUAGGCCGGGCAAACGGGGCGCCCGCCCUGGCCCCUGGGAAUCAGGGGCCCCGGCCCAGGUGUAGUUUUGUGUUUAGUCUUAAACCCAGAAAAUACAGAGGUAAAAAAAAAGAGGGCCCAAAGUGCAGCUAGUAAGGAAAGCCCACCACGCUGUUGGACAUGGGGGAAGUCACACGUAGGAAUUAAAUCGAUGGUUGUUGGAUAGGGAUCUCUCUCCACGGCGGCGUCUCCUCCUCUUCCCAAAUUUCCGAUCUCAGUCUCCAAGAACAGCGCCGCCUCUCCCAUGCCUUUCUGAUUUUGAGGUCGCAACCAACCAUUAACGGAGGAAAAUGGCGCAAUUUCGGUCCCCAAUUAGCUCUUCUUCAUCCGUUCUGCUCCAUCCCCAUAUGAUUGAGAGAUUGUAACGGGUUCUUCUUUCUAGUAAUCCGGUUCCUUAGUUCUAUGAUUCAAUGUUAAAUAAUGUCAAUCCAUGAUAUUACAGGCUGAAGUUCUCAUGGACACGUACGUUUCUUAUAUUCGAUCCAACAAUCCACAUUAAGGGCCCCCAACAUGCAUGGACCGGCCCUGGUUGCAGCAAGAGAUCAUCGUAUGGGAUCCUCUCACAGGCCAACAGCACCACGUGUCUUUUCCAGCGGGUCUCCAGAAUGGCAAAGGGAGGAAUUCAAAUAACUGGCGCGCUGCGGUGUUGCGUGUUGACCCUGAAGAUGCGCAUAUACAUGGUGGUUGCUUCUCGAGCCUGUUCAAAUUGAUCUUGAUCUGCAAUGUCGGAUAUGUCGUACAAGGCCGGACGUUCUUGUUGGGAAUGCACUUUGUUGGUUGCUUAGUGGAGGCGACGUUCUUGCGUUUGAUCUUGAAAGUCAACACCUUGGUGUGACUGAGAAGCCAGCGGAUGCCCAUAUUGUGCAUUGCUGCCAAGGAUAUGUCCAGAUCCUACGGACACAGGAUAGUGGACUUGGUCUUGCCGUUUUAUCAAAACACAACAUCCAGUUUUGGGAGAGGAAAUCAAACACUGAUAAUGUUGCUGGAUGGGUUCGGCUGCAGAAAACCAUUCAGUUCGAGCUGUUUCCACUCAUCAACCGCAACCUACUUAUAAUGGGGUAUGACGAGGACUCAAAUGUGAUUGUUCUGUCUACAAGGAUUGGCUGUUUCACGGUCCAACUUGAUUCGAUGCAGAUCCGGCAUAUUAUUGAAAGAAACUGGAUGUGUUACAACACCUUGUAUCCCUACAAGAAUUUCUAUACCGCAGGCAAUACCUAGUCGUUUGCAUCACAUA